rnacentral:lncRNA from 1 species
AAAGGCAACAGGUCGUUGGCUGGGGUAAAGGCCGAUGGGCUGGACUGAGAAAGUGUCCCCGGGCGGGCAGCGGCCACCUUAACUCCUGGACGGAAUGGCUUUCGAGGAAACGCUGCAGUUCCACUAGGAGGCACCCUGACACACGCAUUUCCAGAGGGAGGGAUAACGGAAGCCAAAGUUUGUUAAGCGUUGUGCGCCGCGGCCGGGCGCGGUGAUUCACGCCUGUAAUCCCAGCACUUUGGGGGGCCGAGGCGGGCGGAUCACGACGUCAGGAGAUCGAGACCAUUCUGGCUAACACGGUGAAACCCCGUCUCUACUAAAAAUACAAAAACAAAAUUAGCUGGGCGUGGUGGCGGGCGCCUGUAGUCCCAGCUACUCGGGAGGCUGAGGUGGGAGAAUGGCGGGAACCCGGGAGGCGGAGUUUGCAGUGAGCCGAGAUUGCGCCACUGCACUCCAGCCUGGGCGACAGAGCGAGACUAUGUAUCAAAAAAAAAAAUGCGUUGUGCGCCGGGCUGAAACCGGCAUAAAACUGGGCAGAGCUAUGCAGGCAGCUACCCUCCCCCCCACCCCUACCCCCACCCCCACCCCCCUCGUGCCCGCUCCGCUACGUAUUCCCGUAUUCCCGGGUGCCUGGCAACAGUGAUGUGCUUUAGGCCUUUUUUAGAAUGCAUACAAACGGAACCAUAUCUAAGUGAUGUCUGGCUUUUUUAACUUAGCACAAUGCUUUGAGAUUCAUACUAUUGUGUUUAAUUAGUAAUUCAUUUGUGUUAUUGUUGAAUGGUAGUCUAUCAUAUGGGUAAGCCACAGUUUAUUUAUCCAUUCACCAAUUGAUGGGCCUGUCGGUUGUAGGGAACAGGAGAAAACUUCCCCUUUGCCCUCUGAAGGGUCACCGAAAAUCAACUGACAAGGCUGGGCCUGGGCUCCUGCCUGUAACCCCAGCCCUUUUUUAGCCCAAGGCAGGAGGAUCUCUUCUUUGUGAAGUGUGUAUUCAAAUCUUUUGACCAUUUAUUUAUUAGCUAGCUUGACUUUUUAUCUAAGAGUUCUUUAUAUAUUAUUGAGUUCUUUAUAUGUUUCAUACCAUGUUCUUUAUUAGCUAUACGUUUUGAAAUGUUUUCUACCUGUCUGUGGCUUGCCUCUUCAUUUUAAGUGUCUUUUGAAGCACUGAAGUUUUCAAUUUUGAUGUAAUUUAUCCAUUUUUUUCUUUUACAUAGUUCAUACCUUUUUUGUCCUACUUAAGACAUUUUUGCUAAAUUCAAGAUUAUAAGAUUUCCUCAUUUGUUACCUUCUGGAAGUUUUAUAAUUGUUGGUCUUCAUUAUAUUUAAAAUGAAUUAUUCUUUAUAGUAUCGAUAGAUGCUGGAGGCAGAUAAGGGAGGGUCCCUGGAGAAUCUCUGACCUGCCUCACAAGCUUUUGUGCAGCUGAGGAAGCCUGCCCAGGGUCUUGUCUGGGCAUGCCCACAAGGGACUUGGGGGCCCACUGCACCAGGAGAGUGGGGUGCAGCCAGAGGGAAUUCAGCCUUAUGCAGCAGGGAUGAGCAAGAAGUCUUCAGCUUGUGUGUGUUGGCCUGUUAUUCAGUCUGUGAGCUGGGAGCCUGUUGGCAGGACCCUCCUUGUUUUUUUGCUAAGAGCUUUUAAUAAAUGCCACUCUUCACCUUGCAAUGUAUUCACAUGCCUAAUUGUUCCUGGUCAUGAGACAAGAACCUGGAUUUUAGCUGAGCUAAGGAGCAAAAAUUCCUGCAUCAGUAUGAGGUGUAAGGAAGAACAGAAGGAUCCAAGUGUGAGAAAGCCCACCCUGAGUCUCUCAGAGAUUCAUUUCACUACCAGGUCAAAGACACAAUCAAAAGCCCGACAAAUGGAAUUUGUGGAAUUGGAACAAAAAGCUUUUCUUCCUAGGCACAAGAACAUCAAAGCAUAAAUCCUUCAGGUAUCAGCAAUGACAUCACUUAAGAAUUUCUCAGAAUCUUUGGCACCACCCCAGGCCUACCGGAUCAGAAUCUGAAUUUUUUAACAAGAUCUCAGAUCUAGUCAAGAGUCCAGUCUGAUUUCUCUUUAUUGGGACUACCACCCAAAGCAGAAUGAGGAUGAUGUAACCACGCCCAGUGACUUCUGGAUACCACUGACUCUAGAUGAGCAAGGAGAGACUCAGAGGAAGUCAGCGUUACUCGAUUAGAAAGUGACUGUGGCACUACCAUAGUAGUAAAAUCUACCAUGGCAGAGAAAAUGCCAUAUGUUCACCUUGCCAGUCGUUUUUCUUUUUCCUCCUGGGUUUAUAGGAAGAUGGCAGCCCCUGGCUCCCCUGCAAUCAGGCAGGGCCAUGUGACUGAGUCUUAGCUCACCAAUGUGGGAGAAAGUGAUGUGUGACACAUUAAGGCCAGGCCACUGAAACCUCUCAUGGGAACUUCCAUACUCACUUCCCUCAUCUGCUAGCCAACCCAAAAGAUUGAGUGGAGGAUUUUACAGCCCCAGGGCCUAGAGAUGCUGGAAAGAAGCCUGAUUCAGCCCUGAAUGAACCUGUGCAAAGGUGCCUCUGACCUCCAACCCUUGUUGGACUAGGAUGUUGGAAAAUACUGUGUUAAGCUACUGGGAUUUCAAAGUUGUUUGUCAUAGCAGCUAGCCAUAUUUACUCUACCUGAUAGAUCUAUGUUCUGUAAUUACAGUGUUUGCCUUUCAUGUCCUAAGGGUAAAUAAGUGAUAUAUGCAACAAUAAACUGUGAUGUACUAUAUAUUGUUUUUAUUACAUUAAAAUUCUUAAAAUUUGCUUUUUCA